rnacentral:rRNA from 1 species
UACGUAGGGGGCUAGCGUUGUCCGGAAUCAUUGGGCGUAAAGCGCGUGUAGGCGGUCCGGUAAGUCCGCUGUGAAAGUCGGGGGCUCAACCCUCGGAUGCCGGUGGAUACUGUCGGGCUUGAGUACGGAAGAGGCGAGUGGAAUUCCUGGUGUAGCGGUGAAAUGCGCAGAUAUCAAGGAGGAACACCAAUUGCGAAGGCAGCUCCGCUGGGACGUUACUGACGCUGAGACGCGAAAGCGUGGGGAGCAAACAGG